rnacentral:rRNA from 1 species
AAUAUUUUACAAUGGGGGCAACCCUGAUCCAGCCAUCCCGCGUGUGUGAAGUAGAUCUUAGGAUUGUCCCGAACUGUAAGUUGAGAGGAAGGGCUUUAGGUUAAUACCCUGUUGUUUUGACGUUACCAACAGAAUAAGCACCGGCUCACUCUGUCCCAGAAUCCGCGGUAAUACAGAGGGUGCAAGCGUUAAUCGGAAUUACUGGGCGUAAAGCGCGCGUAGGUGGUUCAGUAAGAUGGGUGUGAAAUCCCCGGGCUUAACCUGGGAACUGCUUUCAUAACUGCUGAGCUAGAGUACGGUAGAGGGUAGUGGAAUUUCCUGUGUAGCGGUGAAAUGCGUAGAUAUAGGAAGGAACACCAGUGGCGAAGGCGACUACCUGGACUGAUACUGACACUGAGGUGCGAAAGCGUGGGGAGCAAAC